GGCGGCGGUGCUGUCCCGGCCUGCAGCGGGGACCGUGUCCCCCUUCCCAUCCCUCCUGCCGGAGGCACUCGUGUUCCCCGCGGCCGCUCCGGGUCACGGUCUCCACGGCAACAGCUGCUGCCGCCGCUCCGGGUCACGGUCUCCACGGCAACAGCUGCUGCCGCCGCUGCUGCACGGACUCGGCAUCCACCUCCUGCACGGCGCCACCACCGUGGUCUUUGGGAGCAGCGUGCAGCCAUGUGCACACUGUGUGUGCCAGAACAGACCCUUUCAAGAGCUCCAGAAGACUUUUUUAGCCUCUUUCUUUCAUCUGCAAGACCAAAAAGGAAAGAGAGGUUUCUGCAACUGGGAAGCAGGAGAAGAGAGUGGAGUGACAAGACUUCACCUGUACCGUAGCUGAUGGUGGGCUCACAGACCAGAACACACACAGCCUAUUGCACAGAUCGGCUUUCCUGGCAGCCCCGGGCAGCACUUGCAGGGACAGAGGUAUGGGACGCCUAAAAAUAGUUACUGAAAGAGACUAAAAGACAAGGACAGCUGGAAAAAACAU